UACGUAGGGGGCAAGCGUUAUCCGGAUUUACUGGGUGUAAAGGGAGCGCAGGCGGCCUGGCAAGCCUGAUGUGAAAGCCUUCGGCUUAACCGGAGUAGUGCAUUGGAAACUGGGAGACUUGAGUGCAGAAGAGGAGAGUGGAACUCCAUGUGUAGCGGUGAAAUGCGUAGAUAUAUGGAAGAACACCAGUGGCGAAAGCGGCUCUCUGGUCUGUAACUGACGCUGAGGUUCGAAAGCGUGGGUAGCAAACAGG
rnacentral:rRNA from 1 species